rnacentral:rRNA from 1 species
GACGAACGCUGGCGGCGUGCUUAACACAUGCAAGUCGAACGCUGAAGCUCAGCUUUUGUUGGGUGGAUGAGUGGCGAACGGGUGAGUAACACGUGAGUAACCUGCCCCCUUCUUUGGGAUAACGCCCGGAAACGGGUGCUAAUACUGGAUAUUCACUGGUCUUCGCAUGGGGGUUGGUGGAAAGGGUUUUUCUGGUGGGGGAUGGGCUCGCGGCCUAUCAGCUUGUUGGUGGGGUGAUGGCCUACCAAGGCUUUGACGGGUAGCCGGCCUGAGAGGGUGACCGGUCAGAUUGGGACUGAGAUACGGCCCAGACUCCUACGGGAGGCAGCAGUGGGGAAUAUUGCACAAUGGGCGCAAGCCUGAUGCAGCGACGCCGCGUGAGGGAUGGAGGCCGUCGGGUUGUGAACCUCUUUCGCUCAUGGUCAAGCCGCAACAAUGGUUGUGGUGAGGGUAGUGGGUAAAGAAGCGCCGGCUAACUACGUG